UCCUGAAUCUGUCCCUCACCUCUGACCUAGUGCCGGAUCAGGACGUGAUCGAUGUCAUCAUACACGUAGGCCGCAAUCCGCUUGGAAGACAUUUAGCAUGGAGAUAUUUUCGUGAGAAGUGGGACAUAUUGAAUUCCAGGUAUGGAGAGGCCUUAUUUAUGAACUCAAAAUUAAUCAGCGGCGUGACAGAGUUUCUCAACACCGAGGCCGAAUUGAAUGAGCUGAAAGAGUUCAUCCUGACCAGCGGGGGAGAGUCAGCACCUGCGUUCGCUCGAGCCAUUGAGAUUGUUCAAGCUAAUGUAAAAUGGCACAUCCUGUUCCAGGAACAGUUUUACCGCUGGCUGCGGAAAGCUCCUGACGGUUAAUGCAACAUUAAGCAUGGAGCGCUCUAUUAGCAUGGAAACUCAUGGCCAGUGACGUGGGGAGAUUUAAGCAGAAAAAAAAAUGAAAAAACUAUUCUGGGCUAUGAGAAUCAUCAAAAUUGAGCUUUUCCCUGCUGUUUUUGAAACAACCAGACCCUCUCAGACCAGGAUGAAAUGAAUGGCUGAAAAAUACUGAAGGCAUCAACGUCGGAAAUUGCAUGGUGGCAUACGUCGAUAGCGACAGACGAUUUACAUUCCAUUUCCCCUUGUAUUUUGCAUGAAAGUCAUUUCCUUCCUGCCGUCAUUCUGUUUGCUGAAGUUUGACCUUUUCUGAGUCCUAAGAAUAUCGGAUUUGCUUUGAAGACCAGACGACGGUACAAAGAGAUUGCUCUUCGGUCUAUAUAAACAAUUUAGAUUAAGCACAAAGAUGUGACAAUCAGUAUUUUGAUUGGAACAGGACAAGGAGGACAAAGAGGAGAAGUAUUCAUGUAGCCUUUUCUCUCUCCAAAGCCAUAAAGAGGAGCAGACUGAAUUUUAUCUCUUGUACAGAUGGCGUUUAUUGUUUGAUCAACUGAUGCCGCUCAACGGGCAUCAGAAGUGGGAUUCUUUGUUUGGAGGGUUUUCUGCAGGUCCUGGCUGGAGCAGUGAUGGUUUAACCCGCAGGUGUCUUGGAUCAUUUGCAUUCUCAUAGUGUUACUCUUUGCUCUCCAGUUUGGGAGGCUUUGUCCUUGAAUAUGGUAUGUUUGUCUGAGUGAAAAAAAAAAAUCAGUGUGUCGAUAUUUUCAUGUUUGGUUUAUUGAUAAGCUGGAAGGAGUUCAAUGCAGUGCACAGAUGUUGUUUUGAGUCGUGGAUAAUGUGAGCUUCUGAAAUGGAUGGUUGUCAUGGAGACCAAUUAUACAGGUUUUCAUAGGUUUAUCUUCUUUUUUUGUUGUUUUUUUUGUAAUUUCUUUUUCUUUUUUACAUGAACAUGAAUGGUUAAAUGUGCAGUGUUGAAAAUAAUGUAGUGGUUGACCAAUAUACAGGUUUCUGUAUGUUUGAAUUGUUUUCCAGUAAGAAUAUUCAAAACAAAAUAUCAGUUAAACAAGACAAAUUUACAUUUGAAGCAAAAUUGUGUAAUAUAUGUUGCUUUUCAGAGGAUAUAUCUUGAAUUCUAUUUAUUUUUCUUACUCAGAUUGUUUCCUUUGUUUUUUAAGCAUCUAUCUGUGCAUUUUUGCUUCUCAGGUAAAUUUAUCUUGUUUUAAUGAUGCCCAAUGAGCAAUGAUCAAUCACAAAAACAAUUACCAACAAUCAUAAGUAGUAUUAACACAUUUUAAUUGGCCAAUCUGAAAAAUGGACAGAUAUCAGCCAGUUGUUCAUCCUGGUCGAUAUAUUGGUCCAUCACUACUGUAUGUGACUCUCAGGCUUGGGCAAAAUUCAGAAUUGAAGAACUUGAAGAAUUACAAAGACAUUAGAGGAAUUUCAUCAGUCCGACUCAAGGUUGGCAACAAAAUAAAAAUAAUUACAUCAUUAAUUUGAACUAAUCAUCCCUGUUUAUUCCCUGAAUACGUUUACUCAAUUGAUUAUUAUGACUUGAAAUGAUUAUGACUUAACUUAACUUAUUUUUCUAAAUUAAGGUCAAUAUAAAAGUUGAUAAUAUUGAUUAUAUAUUAAAUUAACUAACUAAAAAAACAACAAUUACAAUUAAAGUUGUAUUAAUUCUGUUAAGAUUUUUCUGCACUGGGACGACGUGAAAUAUUUUGUUAGUAGUGGUGUAAAAUGAUUCAUGAUUAAUCGCAUCCAAAAUAAAAGUUUCUGUUUACAUAA